AUCUUCACCGUCACGCCGCGCCCGGUAUCAAAUCCUGCCUCUUCCAGCCAGUCGCCCUUAAGGUGCAGGCAGGGGGGCUGUGAACAGUACGUGGUCAUGCAGGCUUUGCUGUUGAUGUGGCGGACGCUG
rnacentral:sRNA from 1 species